GGCGCACGAUCGCGGGCAGGAAGCCACUCGGAAGUAUUUCCCACAUGAAGGAUGUUUGAAUUGUUUUGAUCAGUGGACUGACUUUCCUAUGAACGCUUAUUUAUUACACUGCACAAUGUGUGUUGGAGUUUAUCUGCGAGGUGAUGUGAAGGCUUGCUGACAUUAUGCCAACGACAAACAGAAAGAAGCAGAAGGGGAGGGACACGGCGGUACAGGGAACCAACGACAGCAGUGUGGUGAGCAAAGUGUCUGCUGCAGCGCAGGGCUACUUCCAGGAUUUCUUCCUACAACACUUUGUGUGCAAAGCAGCCAGGAGAGCCCCACUCAUCAACAGGGGUUACUAUGUACGCUGGAGAGCUGUGGACCACUGUGUGAGGAGGUUCCUACACGUUACUGAAAACUGCCCCAAGAGACAGAUUUUGUCAUUGGGCGCAGGGUUUGACUCUACGUAUUUUCGCCUACACGCAGAUGACGCUUUGGACAGGGCUGUUGUGUUUGAGGUUGAUUUUCCUGAUGUCACGCGACGCAAGGCUGCUCUCAUUAGUUCUAAUAUUACCCUGAGGGGGAUGUUAGACUCGCAUUUACCUUCUCUUACAGGACCUUUAUAUGUGUCUAGUGGUCAAUACCAUCUGCUAGGGGUGGAUGUUAGACAGGAGUCCCAGGUGGAAGAAGCUCUGGGUGCAGCUGGUCUGGACUGGGCUGCCCCUACACUAAUCUUAUCUGAAGUGGUACUUACAUACAUGGAAACACAAUGGUCCGAUGCUGUCAUUAGUUGGGCGGCAAAGCUCUUGCCACAGUCACUCUUCGUUAUGUACGAGCAGAUACAUCCCCAUGAUCCCUUUGGUCAGAUCAUGCAAGAUCAUUUCCUGAAACUAAAUUCAACUCUACAUGCCCUUCGACAGUACCCAGACACUGCUGCACAGAGACACAGGUUCCUGGACAAGGGCUGGGAGGAGUGUGUGUGUCUGGACAUGAAUGACUUCUACCUCGGGUUGGUCCCUGAGGAGGAGAGGUGCAGGGUGGAGAGCCUGGAGCCUUUUGAUGAAUAUGAGGAGUGGCACCAGAAAUGUUCCCACUAUUUCAUCCUCACUGCUUCCCGAGGAUCUUUGAUGGCACAGGCUUUGCUCUUGCACGCUCCAGUAUAUCCAGUGUCAUCCGUUUGCCCAUCUUGGAGCGCCACAGCUCUGAGUUUGCGGACCGUACCAGUUUCUAUGGAGGGGCUGGGGAUGGCUUCCGCCUUGGUGAGGCCAGGCCAGGUCCUACUAACAGGAGGCUCCAGCAGAGGGGGCAGGAGGGCAGUGACUAGGAUCCUCCUCAGGGACCAGGAAGGCUGGAGAUUUGUCUGUGUGGAACCAUCUGUAGAUUUAGGUGUUCGACUCUACCACACUGUUACCUCUCUUCCUGGAGGAGGUAUUGUGGUAUACGGUGGUCGCUCCUCUCCACUCAACCCAAUAAGAGGCCUUUUAAGAGUAAACCUGGACCCCAGUGGUCCACCUGGUCCUCUCGACUCUCAAAAGGGCCGAGACACAAUGAAACUUUGUGUGGAGCAGAUGAUCUGUACGGGGGAUUCACCACCGCCAAGAUGGAGGCACACUGCUACUGUGGUCUGUCACGAAGGUAAAGACUUUCUGUUUGUGUUUGGUGGUAAGAAUCAAUCAGAAGCAGCUCUGGGUGACGGCUACUUCCUCUGUCUAGACAAGCAGCACUGGACUGAGAUCCCAGUAGAGGGCGCACCACCAGAGGCCCGCCAUUCCCACUCAGCCUUUCCAUAUCAGGGAGGUGUGGUGGUGUUUGGAGGACUAGACAGAAGGGGAGUGCCACUGGGGGACACAGUGGUGUUAAGACCAACUGAGAGAGGCUUCUCCUGGGAAAGAAUAGAGGUGGAGCCCCCUCCUGUUCCCAGGUACGCUCACUCUGCCCAUGUGAUCGGUGAAAAGCUGGUUGUUGUUGGUGGAGUUUGGCUGCAUUCAGAGGGUGUACCAGGCGUUGUCAUGAUCAACCUCUCCACGUGCAGCAGUGUGGAGUUCAGCCUAGACACGACCUCAGUGCCCUGGCCUCUGAUGCUCCACUCAUUCUGCUCUGAGCUGACAGACCCAGAAGAACCAGAGCUGCUGCUGAUAGGUGGUGGAGGAAACUGUUUCUCCUUUGGGACUCACUUCAACCUUCAGCCUGUCACUGUGGACCUGAGACCUGUACUGGGAUGAAGUAGUCUAAAGGGUUCUGUGAAACUGUUAAGCAGCUCAAAUCAACAACUGAAGACAGGAUGAAAUGGAUUCACUUGAAUCAUGUGGGACAGUUUGAACAGAGCUCAGGCCUAUUGAAGGUCCCGGUUUGUUAUUGUUAUUGAAUCCAAAGUGUAGAUGUCUAAGUAUGCAAGGGCACAAAAGGCUCAAAAGACAUUAAACAUCUCAUGAAUAGAAAAUCAAAAAAAAUGUCUUUAGUCUGCUUAUUGGACAGGUUUUUAUUUGUGAGACCUCAGUUCAAAAUCACAAAAUAGUCAAUGAAAGUUAUAGUAAAAUAUCGACAUAGUAGGUUGCUUUGUUUUAACGUUUUAGAUGAAGGUUAAAUCAUUCAGUGAAGCGCCUGAAGGACUGGACCGUAGGGCUGACAGCGCCCCAGUCUCCUGGCUUGCGGUAUUCCCCCUUCUCGAGGAAGUACUGGCGUCCACGGUAGUUGGGGUGCUCGUAGAACACCCACCAGCCGUCGAAGACCUUACAGGAGUUGACCUCCCUCCAGCGGAACUUCUCCAGGAGGGAGGGACAGUCCUCUGUGGCCUCGAAGGCCUGGCCCCCGAAGUCUGCCUUCUCAUACAGCUGCAUCUUGUACUGGCUCCCACUGGUCUGGAAGGUGAUUGGAGGAAGCGAGGGAGACGGUAGAGGUAUGGGAGGAGAUGAGAGGGGGUGAAAAUGGAAGAUAGGUGAAAAGAGGUAGCAGGUGGAGAGUAGUGAAUGAAGG